rnacentral:rRNA from 1 species
CUUUCGGAGCUAACGCGUUAAGUAGACCGCCUGGGGAGUACGGUCGCAAGAUUAAAACUCAAAUGAAUUGACGGGGGCCCGCACAAGCGGUGGAGCAUGUGGUUUAAUUCGAUGCAACGCGAAGAACCUUACCUACUCUUGACAUCCAGAGAACUUUCCAGAGAUGGAUUGGUGCCUUCGGGAACUCUGAGACAGGUGCUGCAUGGCUGUCGUCAGCUCGUGUCGUGAGAUGUUGGGUU